CUCGAUUGACUUGCCCGCACGAACGUGGCUCCGUCCCUCCCUCGAACCCUAGCUACCCCUCGUCUCCCCGCCUCCAGCCGCACCCGCCGCCGCACCCCAAUCCCCGAUCUGGCUAUCCACCUCACGACGACGCCGUUGCCCUCUCCGUCUUCCUCCUCAAGACGUCACCAUCGCCUCCCCUCCUCCAUGAUUCGGCCAUGGCCACCACCGAUGCCCUCCUCUCCAUCGCUGUCGCCAACCCUCAAUCUCCAUCGAUAUCCUCCUAGAUCGACAAAGGGAGACCUCCACCGUCGCCGUUCUUCUUCCUCCCCGACCUCCCGUCGCCGUUCUCCACGGAUCUGGCCGUGGCCACAACCGACGCUGCCGGUUACAUGGAGGAGCUCACCCCGGCCUUCUCCAUGGAUCUGGUUGAUCUGAAGGCGGGCGGCAAGGCGGGGCUCGCCGAGCGAGGUAUCCAGGCGGGGGUCGCCGGUGACGACGAGGAAUCCGGAGCGAGGGAUCCAGCAACCUAGGUAGGAGCUCGCCGGACCUGAGCGACGACGGACGGGCGCGUGAGACGGAGGGAUCUGGUGCGGUGGCAUGAAUUCCUUGCAGGUAGAGGCGGGUCUCCAUGGCUGGCAGGGAGAGCUCCAAGCCAUGGCGGGGCUUUAGUUUUCCCUGGUAGAAAAGAGAGAAAGAGGAAGAUUCAGGGAGGAGGAGAGGUAGGGAGAAGACGGUGCAGGUGCGAGCUUGGGGAAGAGGGAUCCUAACAUCAAGUGCUUAGGGAACAUCAGAGAGGAUGCCGCGAGGGGAGAGGAAUGGUGUAGUGAGAUUGAGGAAGACAGGACACAUCGGGACCCGGGAGCUCGAGAAGAGGCUCAAUCGAUCUCGACAAGAAGUGAUCUCCCCUUGGUGACAGUACUAGAUGGCCUCUCUAGGCUCCUGCCAUUGACCUGGGUAUGUGUAUAUAUUUGAUUUCUUCAACGGUUUAUUGAUGCACAAGUAAGCUUGCAAAGCGACCUGGGUAUGUGGAUAGAUUUCACUUCUUCAAGGGUUCAUUGAUGCACAAGUAAGCUUGCGACCUGGGUAUGUGGAUAGAUUUCACUUCUUCAACGGUUCAUUGAUGCACGAGUAAGCAAAGAGGCAUCCUGCUUAUCUAGCUUUCUGUCCACUGCUGUCCAUGCAACUGGUAAUGACUAGCAGCCAAGCUUUAAUUUUUUUUUCAUACAUCCGGCCUCUAAUCCCUGGCUAUUAAUUAUAUAUUUAAGCAAACACAAGAUGACGAGACAUCAUUUAAUUUUAAGAGAAUCAAUAAAUUAUUGGAACUGAAGUGGUCAUAAAUAUGAUGGUUUGAUCUGUAGGCCUCUUAUGUUUUUUCCAGAAGCAGAAAAGAUAGAAGAAUCUCAUCUCCUUCUGGCGGAACGGCAGAGGGCUUGGCUGCUACCAGGGUGAUCCAAAGGGUGUAUCUAGGUAGCAUGUUUGUGGCCUCUUGCACUAACGUGAUUAAUGGUAGCUUCAAUUCCAUGACAUGAUUUUUGCAGCUGUAACAAUAUGUUUCAUGCAUGAGGACAUAUAUUUGCAUCCUAUCUUUCUGUCGAGUUAGUUCCAAAUUACAAAUGUUUGUGCUAUCACUGACAAUUUGGUGGAAAAAGAUGAGUCGUAUAUACACCCAGUGUAAGCUUUCACAUCAGCCGUUGCUCUUGACUGUCUUUGCAAGUCCAUAGAUAUAAUUUAUUAUGAUUUUCCUUUACUCAUAGUAAGUACUGAAUAUUUUGUGCUUCAACCCUUUAGGUGUUAAUUUCUGUGAUGUGGCUAGCAAAGUUGGCCACAGGUACAGUAUAACCAUCAUGAUCUGCAGAGGGAUAUCACCUAGGUGCAUAAAUCAUAAUCAUUCAGUUUUUAUUUGGCAAGCUGGAGCUACCUGGAACUUUCAAUUUUGGUGCCAAGAUGGAUGGAUUCAACUGGGUGACCCACUGUCAGGGCGUGGCCGCGGCUGCGGCGCGGGCAGCAAGGACAAGCGCCGCAAGGGAGCCGAUGGGCGUGGGCGUGAACCGGGGAGAGGAGACCGUGGCGGAGGAGAUGAGAGAAGGCCACCAUCUUCUUUUCCCCCCUCUCCGACCAGAAACCCCUAUCUAUCCAUCCGACGAGAGAAGACUGCAGGCGGAGGAGAGGAGACGCGGGUGAGGUAAGAGGAGCCAAAUCCCCAUCAUGUUCCUCCCCACGCGCCGCCGACCCAUCCGCGGCAUUCUUUCUGGUGUGCCAGGGGAAACAACAGCAAGAUGGUGGUGCGGGUCUUCGGGUAUGGGUCCCUGAUCUGGAACCCCGGCUUCGAUUAGAAGAUCCUGAGAUUCAUCAAGGGCUACAAGCGAACGUUUAAUCUCGCUUGCAUUGACCAUAGAGGCGCACCUCAGAAUCCAUCCAGCACCUGCACCCUUGAAUUCGAAGAUGAAGAAAUAUGCGUAAGUUGACUGCAUCCAUUAAUCAAAUAUCUACAACACAUUGUACUGAUGUGCUGAAGUUUCGAUGAUUUCGAUUGGUCGCUGACAUAACCUCCUAUUUCUCCUUUUGUUUAUCGGUAUUCAACGUGAGGAAUUUCAUACAUUUGGUGUGGUGCUAGCAAAUAUAGUGACCAAAGAUAUGAUGAGAAAGGGUGGAGCUGAGUAUGCCACUCAUGGAUAUGAUUAUUUCCCCUAUGUUCUUUUUGGCAAUCCACUUCAUCACUGACUCAUCUGUGUAUGGGUGAGCUAACAAGCCUGUAUUAUGUCUUCCCUCUUUCUUUGUAAGUGAAGGAUUUCAGAUUGCUGCGCAUUAUUCAACUGCUAUACUUGUGAAAGAGAAAUGUGCUAAACUACAGUACUCCCUCCGUCGCAUGAUGAGUUUCAACGACUCUUAUUUUGGGAUGGAGGGAGUAGUAAAUUACUUUUCGUUUUUUCUUUGUUGAUCUGAUAAUAAUUAAGUUUAAAAAUAUGUCAUCUUGUAUUUCACUAAUAGGGUAGAGCCAAGGUGGCACAAGUGUGUGGCCAUGGUUUUCUUUUAUCGUUUUAUCAAAUCAAUGGAAAUAUAUCUGCACAGUUAUGGAUUGCUACUACAAAUAAUGCUUUAAAUAAUGGCAUCUUCUCAGCAACCCUUCAUGCACCCCCUCGCGAGAACCACCGAAACAUUCCCAGGAAAUUCUUCUCGCUUGCUGCAGCCCAUGGUGCACCAUCCGAUCUCUGUGUGCUGCACAGUUAUAUGUGGUCUUAUAUCCUGCACGUGUGUUGCAAGUGUUUCUCUCUACUUUGUGCUCCAAAUUUGUUUUUCCUACAAUAUGGAAGAUUAAUGUAUAUAUUCUUCUAAAGUUAUAGUACAUUCAUGGUCUGUGUAUAUCUAUUUGUAUGCUGCAAACCUGAGUCGGGCAGACAGCAACUAAUUUCUUCAUUUGCUAUCUUUAUACUCAACUUGAUUGGCAGACUUCAGGUAAUUCGUGUUCGUGUGGUAAGAAUUGAACUCAGGUGCUGCUCUUUUACCACUUUCUUGAUGCAAAUAGCAUCAAAGGACCUGUACUGCUAUGAAUUACAUCACGGAUUAUGUGCUACUUUAUUAGUUAAAGUCUCUUUGUUCAGUUAGUUCUCUAAAACAGAACCACUUCUCCUGGUGUAUAUGUUUCUUGGCAACAUUUGGUGUAAUACUAAUCUUCCAGAGAUUGUUGUAAGAAAUAACUAUAUUUAGUAUCUUUAUCUCAUCAAUGGGCUAAUUCUAUAAAAAGAACUAAUAAGGAGAUUUCUUAGCAGUACUGUAUAUGUUUGGAGCAAUGAGGUAAUUUUAUCCUAUGUUACUUUCUUUCUCUUGCAUUUCCUAAUUUUGUUUUCCACUCCAUUUUUUUAGGUUCCAAAGUUUGGCCACAACUAGCUUGAUUCGGAGACAUUUCGUAUUAGGAGUUAAACUUUGGUUUGGAGGCAUUGAGCUUUGCCAGUAACUAGCUUUGUUACUUGGUAUACUUCUGUCAGCAUUCAGGAGCCCCGUAGUUGUGUAGCGGGUCGCGGGAGAGGCAGCCGGUGAGUGCGAGCUGGACGGGAAGGUGAUGCCUGUGAUGGCGAACCAUGCCGGCGGGCAGGGAGGGUCGACGCUCUAAAUGUACUACCUGAUAGCUUGUCUUAGUCUUUAUAAAAGUGCAUAUCUACAACAUCCUUUCAUUUAUUUGGCAUAUCCUACUUUAAACAGUAUCCCUGACUCGCAUCGAUUUCAAAUAACUGAAGUAUCUUCUCUGCUCAUGUUUCCACAUAAAGACCAAUCAUGUAUAUGUACUGAUGGCAGCAUGCAUUCCAAUUUAGAGAGUUUCCAAUGCUUUCCUUUUUUCA